UGCAGCGAAGUGCGAAACGCGAUGCCAAGUUGCAGUGCUUGGGAAAGGCUGUCUUGGUCAUGAACGUGUUUAUGGCGGUGUGCACUGUGUUGGGCAUGUUUGUG
rnacentral:rRNA from 1 species